GAUGAACGCUGGCGGCGUGCCUAAUACAUGCAAGUCGAGCGAACGGACGAGAAGCUUGCUUCUCUGAUGUUAGCGGCGGACGGGUGAGUAACACGUGGAUACCCUCCCUAUAAGACUGGGAUAACUUCGGGACACCGGCUCUAAUACCGGAUGAUAUUUUGAACCGCAUGGUUCAAAAGUGAUAGACGGUCUUGCUGUCACUUAUAGAUGGAUCCGCGCUGCAUUAGCUAGUUGGUAAGGUAACGGCUUACCAAGGCAACGAUGCAUAGCCGACCUGAGAGGGUGAUCGGCCGCACUGGAACUGAGACACGGUCCAGAGUCCUACGGGAGGCAGCAGUAGGGAAUCUGCCGCAAUGGGCGAAAACCUGACGGAGCAACGCCGCGUGAGUGAUGAAGGUCUUCGGAUCGGAAAACUCUGUUAUUAGGGAAGAACAUAUGUGUAAGUAACUGUGCACAUCUUGACGGUACCUAAUCAGAAAGCCACGGCUAACUACGUG
rnacentral:rRNA from 1 species